rnacentral:rRNA from 1 species
AUUGAACGCUGGCGGCAUGCUUUACACAUGCAAGUCGAACGGCAGCACGAAAGAGCUUGCUCUUUUGGUGGCGAGUGGCGAACGGGUGAGUAAUGCAUCGGAACGUACCGAGUUAUGGGGGGUAACACUCGGAAAGACUGACAAUACCCCCACAGGCUUGGUAAGGGAAAGGGGGGGCCAUCCGAACCCCCCGUUUUCGAGAGUCCGAUGUCUGAUUAGCUAGUUGGUGGGGUAAAGGCCUACCAAGGCGACGAUCAGUAGCGGGUCUGAGAGGAUGAUCAGCCACACUGGGACUGAGACACGGCCCAGACUCCUACGGGAGGCAGCAGUGGGGAAUUUUGGACAAUGGGCGCAAGCCUGAUCCAGCCAUGCCGCGUGGCUGAAGAAGGCCUUCGGGUUGUAAAGGACUUUUGUUAGGGAAGAAAAGGAUAGUGUUAAUACCAUUAUCUGCUGACGGUACCUAAAGAAUAAGCACCGGCUAACUACGUG